rnacentral:rRNA from 1 species
GACGAACGCUGGCGGCGUGCCUAAUACAUGCAAAUCGAGCGGACUUGACGGAGCUUGCUCCUGAUAGUCAGCGGCGGACGGGUGAGUAACACGUGGGCAACCUGCCUGUAAGACUGGGAUAACUUCGGGAAACCGGAGCUAAUACCGGAUACGUUCUUUUCUCGCAUGAGAGAAGAUGGAAAGACGGUUUCGGCUGUCACUUACAGAUGGGCCCGCGGCGCAUUAGCUAGUUGGUGGGGUAAUGGCCCACCAAGGCGACGAUGCGUAGCCGACCUGAGAGGGUGAUCGGCCACACUGGGACUGAGACACGGCCCAGACUCCUACGGGAGGCAGCAGUAGGGAAUCUUCCGCAAUGGACGAAAGUCUGACGGAGCAACGCCGCGUGAGCGAUGAAGGCCUUCGGGUCGUAAAGCUCUGUUGUUAGGGAAGAACAAGUGCUAGUUGAAUAAGCUGGCACCUUGACGGUACCUAACCAGAAAGCCACGGCUAACUACGUGCCAGCCGCCGCGGUAAGAC